rnacentral:rRNA from 1 species
AACGAACGCUGGCGGCGCGCCUAAUACAUGCAAGUCGAGCGAGAAGACGUAGCAAUACGUUUGUAAAGCGGCGAACGGGUGAGGAAUACAUGGGUAACCUACCCUCGAGUGGGGGAAUAACUAGCCGAAAGGUUAGCUAAUACCGCGUACGCUCCUUGGACUUCGGUUCAGGGAGGAAAGCGAUACCGUGGGUAUCGCGCUCUUGGAUGGGGCUCAUGUCCUACCAGCUUGUUGGUGAGGUAACGGCUCACCAAGGCUUCGACGGGUAGAUGGUCUGAGAGGACGAUCAGCCACACUGGCACUGCGACACGGGCCAGACUCCUACGGGGAGCAGCAGUAAGGAAUAUGCGCAAUGGGCGAAAGCCUGACGCAGCGACGCCGCGGUGGGGGA